AUAGCCAAUGCAGGAAAGAGAAAGAGAGAAGUGAUAACAGCAUAUAAAAAAACCAAAUCAGAUACUAUUCUUGAGAUUUGGAGAAAUUCGAAGUCGAUGACUUAGGAGAUGAAAAGAGAAAGAGAAACAAAGGAGAUAGAUAUGUUAGGAUCCAAAGAACAAUUCUAUCUCAAUGAUGUAACACAUAGCAAAAUACUGAUAAAUUUGAAAAGGAAAGGAAAAAAAUCAAAAUAACACAUUGCAAAAAGUUAAACAAACCAUAUAAUGGCCAAGGUAGCAAGCAGCAAAUCAAACAUGCAAAAAGUUAAACAAAUCAAAUAAUGGCUGAGGUAGCAAGCUGCAAAUGCUGUUUAAUAUCCAUUAAACAGAAAAAUGAGAAGACAUUGUUAGAACAAUCAUGACCAAGAACCAACAAAGAGGUUCUUUUUGGAAACCAAAUCAAACGAGGAUGGGAUCAUUAAACAGUCUUUCACCUGGUUUUUUUUGCAUGCUCUUGCUUCCCUAGGAACAAAAAGUAAGGUAUUAAGCAUGCAUUCUAACAGUCCAAAACAUAAUCAACUAGCAACCAAAAGGCCUAAAGGUAUUUAGCCUUUGCAUAGGCAGAUUUUCCAGUAACUCAGAAUACAUUCAAACCAACUCACACACUUUUGACUUUCCUGUACACCAAUUAGAUAGACUCAAUGGAGCACGCAAACAAACAGAAUAAUGUAAGAGAUUAAUGAAAGGCCAGAAAAGAGCUCAUAUAAUAACAUCAAAUGCAAACAAAAAGUGGUCAAGUAUGAUGAAGCCGAUGACCUCCAAUAGAAAAAGAGAAAGAUAAAAAAAGGAGAUAGCCAUGUUAUGAUGAAUGAUGAUAUAAUACAAAACAUUACAAGACAAUGAUAAAUUUGAAAGAAAAAAAAAAAAGAUUCAAGUUCUGGUACGUGCGGUCUUAAUCAAGAAAAUAUAUGAAACGAAUCAAAAUGAAACAGUCAAAGCAGGAAAGAGAGAGAGAGAGAGAGAGAGAGAGAGAGAGAGAGAAGUGAUAAAAGUAUAUAAAAGAAACCCAAUCAGAUACUAUUCUUGAGAUUUGGAGAAAUUCGAAGUCGAUGACAUAGGAGAUGAAAAGAGAAAGAGAACAAAGGAGAUAGAUACAUUAGGAUCCAAUGACCAAUUCUAUCUCAAUGAUACAAUACAUAGCAAAAUAAUGAUAACUUUGAAAAGGAAAGAAAAAAAUCAAAAUAACACAUUGCAAAAAGUUAAACAGACCAUAUAAUGGCUGAGGUAGCAAGCUGCAAAUUAAACAUGCAAAAAGCUAAACAAACCAUAUAAUGGCUGAGGUAACAAGCUGCAAAUGCUGUUAAAUAUCCAUUAAAAAGCCAAAUGAGAGGAAAUUGUUAGAACAAUCAUACCAAGAACCAACAAAGAGGUUCUUUUUAGAAACCAAAUCUUCCAGCAAAAAAGGAUCAUUAUACAGUCUCUCACCUGGGUUUUUUUGCAUGUUCUUGCUUUCCUAGGAACAAAAAGUGAGGUAUUAAGCGUGCAUUCUAACAGUCCAAAACAUAAUCAACUAGUACCAAAAGGCCUAAAGGUAGCCUUUGCAUAGGCAAAUUUUCCAAUAACUCAUAAUACAUUCAAAUCAACUCACACACUUCUGAGUUUCCUAUACUCCUAUUAGACAGAGUCAAUGAAGCAUGCAAACACACAGCAUAAUGUAAGCAAUCAAUGAAAGGCGAGAAAAGAACCCAUAUAAUAACAUAAAAUUGAAACAAAAAGCGGUCAAAUAUGACAAAGUUGAUGACCUACAAUAGAAAAAGAGAAGGGUAAAAAAGGAGAUAGAUAUGUUUUGACAAAGGAUGAUAUAAACAAAACAAAACAAGACAAUGAUAAAUUAGAAAAUAAAAAAAAAGAUUCAAGAUCUGGUAUGUACGGUUUUAAUCAAGAAAAUAUAUGAAACGAAUCAAAAUGAAAUAGCCAAAGCAGUAAAGACAAAGAGAGAAGUGAUAACAGCAUAUAAAGGAACCAAAUCAGAUACUAUUCUUGAGAUUUGGAUAAAUUCGAAGUCGAUGAUGUAGGAGAUUAAAAGACAAAAAAAAACAAAGGAGAUAGAUACAUUAGGAUCCAAUGAACAAUUCUAUCUCAAUGAUACAAUACAUAGCAAAAUAAUGAUAAAUUUGAAAAGGAAAGAAAAAAAAUCAGAAAAAAACAUUGAAAAAGUUAAACAAACCAUAUAAUGGCUGAGGUAACAAGCUGCAAAAUGCCAUUUAAUAACAACUAAAUAGCCAAAUGAGAAGCAAUUGUUAGAACAAUCAUGACCAAGAACCAACAAAGAGGUUCCUUUUAGAAACCAAAUUAUCCAGCAAGUGAGGAUCAUUAAACAGUCUUUCACCUAGCUUUUUUUGCAUGCUCUUGCUUUCCUAGGAACAAAACGUGAGGUAUUAAGCAUGCAUUCUAACAGUCCAAAAUAUAAUCAACUAGCAACCAAAAGGCCUAAAGGUAUUUAAACAGUCUUUCACCUAGCUUUUUUUGCAUGCUCUUGCUUUCCUAGGAACAAAACGUGAGGUAUUAAGCACGCAUUCUUACAAUCCAAAAUAUAAUCAACUAGCAACCAAAAGGCCUAAAGGUAUUUAGCCUUUGCAUAAGCAAAUUUUCCAGUAACUCAAAAUACAUUCAAAUCAACUCACACACUUUUGAGUUUCCAAUACUCCUAUAGAUAGACUCAAUGGAGCACGCAAAAACACAGGAUAAUGUAAGCGAUCAAUGAAAGGCAAGAAAAGAACUCAUAUAAUAACAUCAAAUGCAAACAAAAAGCGGUAAAACAUGACGAAGUUGAUGACCUACAAUAAAAAAAAAAGAGAAGGGUAAAAAAGGAGAUAGAUAUGUUAUGACAAAUGAUGAUAUAAUAAAAAACAAAACAAGACAAUGAUAAAUUUGAAAAGACAAGAAAAAGAUUCAAGAUCUGGUACGUACGGUCUUAAUCAAGAAAAUAUAUGAAACGAAUCAAAAUGAAAUAGCCAAUGCAGGAAAGACAACGAGAGAAGUGAUAACAGCAUAUAAAAGAACCAAAUCAAAUACUAUUCUUGAGAUUUGGAUAAAUUCGAAGUCGAUGACGCAGGAGAUGAAAAGAGAAAGAGAACAAAGGAGAUACAUACCUUGGAGGUCAUAAGGAGAAGCCAACCCUUCUAAACAUCAUCGCGCUUUAAUUUCUCUGGUAACCCAUAACUUAU
rnacentral:lncRNA from 1 species